rnacentral:rRNA from 1 species
GCAGUUCAUGUAUUAGAGGCACCGCCUGCCAGUGAUCCUUGUUUAACCCCCGCUAUUACCCUAACCGUGCGGGGUAGCAAACUCACUUGUUCCUUAAAAAGACCACCUGUAUGAAUGGCUCCACGAAGGUUCAGCUGUCUCUUACUUUUAACCAGAAAAAAUUGACCUGCCCGAAAAGAUGCGGUAAUCACACAACACGACAAAAGACCCACUAUGAAGA